rnacentral:rRNA from 1 species
AAAAGAGAAGACCGGUACAAGCGGGGUAGGAGUAAGGACAGCAAAUCUUCCUUACAAUCCGAAGACGUAAUGUGGACCGAACCAAAGUAGGGAAGCGUGUGAGCCAUGUGCCAAGAAAAGCCGCUAUUGUGAUACACAUACCCGUACCGUAAACCGACACAGGUGGAUGAGGAGAGAAUCCUAAGGCCGACGGAAGAAGCAUUGUUAAGGAACUCGGCAAAAUGACCCCGUAACUUCGGGAGAAGGGGUGCCCUGUGAAAGCAGGGCCGCAGAGAAUAGGCUCAAGCAACUGUUUAGCAAAAACACAGGUCUAUGCGAAACCGAAAGGUGAGGUAUAUGGGCUGACGCCUGCCCGGUGCUGGAAGGUUAAGAGGAGAAGUCAGGCAACGAAGCUUCGAAUUUAAGCCCCAGUAAACGGCGGCCGUAACUAUAACGGUCCUAAGGUAGCGAAAUUCCUUGUCGGGUAAGUUCCGACCCGCACGAAAGGCGUAAUGAUUUGAGCACUGUCUCGACAAUGCAUCCGGUGAAAUUGAAGUACCAGUGAAGAUGCUGGUUACCUGCGCCAGGACGGAAAGACCCCAUGGAGCUUUACUCCAGCUUGAUACUGGGAUUCGAUACUGUAUGUACAGGAUAGGUGGGAGACGUUGAACAUAGAACGCCAGUUUUAUGUGAGUCGCUGUUGGGAUACCACCCUUGCAGUAUUGGAUUUCUAACCUGCACCCAUGACCUGGGUGGGGGACAAUGUCUGGCGGGGAGUUUGACUGGGGCGGUCGCCUCCGAAAGGGUAUCGGAGGCGCUCAAAGGUUCCCUCAGAAUGGUUGGAAACCAUUCGAAGAGUGCAAAGGCAGAAGGGAGCUUGACUGUGACACCGACGGGUGGAACAGGUACGAAAGUAGGACUUAGUGAUCCGGUGGUAUAAAGUGGGAUUGCCAUCGCUCAACGGAUAAAAGCUACCCUGGAUAACAGGCUUAUCACUCCCAAGAGUUCACAUCGACGGAGUGGUUUGGCACCUCGAUGUCGGCUCAUCGCAUCCUGGGGCUGUAGCAGGUCCCAAGGGUUGGGCUGUUCGCCCAUUAAAGCGGUACGCGAGCUGGGUUCAGAACGUCGUGAGACAGUUCGGUCCCUAUCCGGCGCAGGCGGAGGAUAUUUGAGAGGAGCUGUCCUUAGUACGAGAGGACCGGGAUGGACGGACCACUGGUGUAUCUGUUGGCUAUCAGAGCCAUGGCAGAGUAGCCAAGUCCGGCAGGGAUAAACGCUGAAGGCAUCUAAGCGUGAAGCCCCCCUCAAGAUGAGAUAUCCCUCAGAAAUGAGUAAGACCCCUUGAAGACUACGAGGUAGAUAGGAAUGAGGUGUAAGCACAGCAAUGUGUUCAGCUGACAUUUACUAAUCGGUCGAGGGCUUGACCAA